CGCGUAGGCGGUUUGGACAGUUAGGCGUGAAAUUCCCGGGCUUAACCUGGGGGCUGCGCUUAAUACAUCCAGACUUGAGUGAGGAAGAGGGUUGUGGAAUUCCCAGUGUAGAGGUGAAAUUCGUAGAUAUUGGGAAGAACACCGGUGGCGAAGGCGGCAACCUGGUCCUUUACUGACGCUGAGGCGCGAAAGCGUGGGGAGCAAACA
rnacentral:rRNA from 1 species